rnacentral:rRNA from 1 species
AUUGAACGCUGGCGGCGUGCUUAACACAUGCGAGUCGAACGCGAAAGGGACUUCGGUCCUGAGUAAAGUGGCGCACGGGUGAGUAACGCGUGGAUAAUCUGCCCUUAUGAUCGGGAUAACAGUUGGAAACGGCUGCUAAUACCGGAUACGCUCAAGAUGAACUUUUUGAGGAAAGAUGGCCUCUGCUUGCAUGCUAUCGCAUAGGGAUGAGUCCGCGUCCCAUUAGCUUGUUGGCGGGUAACGGCCCACCAAGGCAACGAUGGGUAGCCGAUUUGAGAGGAUGAUCGGCCACACUGGAACUGAAACACGGUCCAGACUCCUACGGGAGGCAGCAGUGGGGAAUAUUGCGCAAUGGGCGAAAGCCUGACGCAGCGACGCCGCGUGAGGGAUGAAGGUUUUCGGAUCGUAAACCUCUGUCAGAAGGGAAGAAACUACGUUGUGCUAAUCAGCAGCGUACUGACGGUACCUUCAAAGGAAGCACCGGCUAACUCCGUGCCAGCAGCGGC